rfam:Phialocephala scopiformis strain CBS 120377 unplaced genomic scaffold LY89scaffold_2, whole genome shotgun sequence.
UUUUAUGAUGAUAUAAUUUGCGAUUGACCUUGUUCGGUGGCACCCUCGCCGGGGUCGCUAUAUCGUUCGAGUGGAUGACAUUCAAUCUUACAUAUUCUGAAU